CUAACAUCCCCUUAAGCAAGGAAGUUAAGUGACGCAGACAUCUCUGUCCCUCUUCUCUUGUGCCCACACUAGAGGGUCAGAGGCAUGCUAAUGAAAGAAAUUGCUCUGUGUAUCUUCAUAAGGACAUCCAAAGGCUUCAUGAGCUGUGCUGAGAUUCACCAUACCUUGUCUACACUAGAAAGCAACACACAGGAUGGGAAUCAGGGAUGGAAAACACCAAAAGAAACAACUUUCACAGCAAUAAUCCUUUAAUCAGGACAAGGAAGCAUGAGAAAACUUACAAGAAAGCUUGUUCUCAGGAGAGGAACUCCAUCUUUGUUGGAGCAAACAACAUCCAGACACCAAAGCUAAAGCAGGUACAUGAGAAAUGCAAUAAUGAGAACAGCCUUGUAUCUUGCAGUAUUUGAAAGGCUUGCAUUUGAAGAGCAUGCAAAACCAGAAACAGAUUUUCUUUCUACUCUCUCUGCAUUAUGUAUUAGAUUAUUAUUGCCAUACGUAAGACCUGUGGAAUUUGGAAAAGAGCUUUCUUUAUGGGCAUGACAAUGAAUAGGAUGAGCUCCAGAAAUACUAUGCCGUAGGGUACAUGUUCUGGGACAGGUGUCCCAACCAAAGAAAAUUUCUUAUUUGACUUUGCUUGUCUGAAAUGUACAUUAAUCACCUGACAGGGUCACUGCAGAGAUCAUAGGAUUUAUUAUUUCAGACAUCAAACAUUUAUUAGU